rnacentral:rRNA from 1 species
UACGUAGGGGGCAAGCGUUGUCCGGAAUCAUUGGGCGUAAAGAGCGUGUAGGCGGCUCGGUAAGUCCGCUCUGAAAGCCCGGGGCUCAACCCCGGGAGGCGGGCGGAUACUGUCGGGCUAGAGUCCGGAAGAGGCGAGUGGAAUUCCUGGGUGUAGCGGUGAAAUGCGCAGAUAUCAGGAGGAACACCAUGGCGAAGGCAGCUCGCUGGGACGGUACUGACGCUGAGACGCGAAAGCGUGGGGAGCAAACAGG